GUGAUUGCUUCAGCAGCACAUACACAAAAUUGGAAUGAUAGAAAGAUUAGCAUGGCCCCUAGACAAGGAUGACAGGUAAAUGGUAGAAUUCACCUGUGAAGCU
ensembl:snRNA U6 U6 spliceosomal RNA